rnacentral:lncRNA from 1 species
UGCCUUGCCUCCCAGCCCGGCUGAAAAGCUUGAGGAAUCCCUCCAGUGUGGUAUGUUCAUGCCACACAAACAUACACAUAGCUCGGUCUAGCUCAUUUUCCAGUUCAUGCAGAAGUGUAGCUAGUUUGCAAUGGAUCAAUGGUUGGAGCAAGGCUCAGAGGGGUGUGGAUGACCGGAACAGGUGCAGGCAACUCGGAUCAUACUACUACACUACUACAGGCCACAGGGAGGCUAUAUGAGCAUGGAAGGCUUUUGGGCAUUGGCAGUGAACUACGGAGCUUCUGAAACAGACAAGUGUUUCCCUUCUUCGACCUCGCACUUGUUUGCCGGUGGUCGAAGCAUCUCCCUGGCUAUCUCCCGCCGUGGCCAUGUAUCACAGGAUCAUGCGUCUGACAUAGCAUCAUGGGAUAGAGUCUGCUAUCAAGGAUUGCGCCGAAAAGGGGAAAAGAAAAGAAAAGGAAAGGAAAAAGAGGUGCCAAGUAUCAUAAUAGAUUUUGGGAGAUCUUAGGUGCGCUACACAAGUUGGAGUACACAAAAGGCGAUUGGUACGGUUCAUCAGCCUGUAAACCUUUUGCAAGCUAUCUUGCCCACAUAAAUCCCAUCGUCUUGACGGUUACUUUGUACUCCAUUCGUUCCAAAUUAUAGAUCGUUUUAACUUUUCUAUUAUUAUGCAUCUAGGCAUAGAGUAUAUCUAAAUGUAUAAUGUUGACGUCAGAUUUCGUCACUAGUAAAAUCGGCGCCAAGAAGAGAGGGAAUCGGAGAAGCACAGUUGGGAAUCGGUCAAAUGGUGCUACAGUGCGAGAUCGGCCGAUGACUUUUGUCUCGCCUCGGGUCGAACGUGCCGGAGUCCCAAUCGGUUGCCUUUUGCCGAUAAGGAAUCGGCCGAUUUGGAGGUUGAUUUAAUUGGGCCUGUAUGGGCUUGGAAAGGAAUAAAAGGAUGAGGUGGAGAUCAGCCCAUGAAACGUAGAGUAACCAACCUAGCACGAAUUGUGCUUGUAAAUAUUCGUUUUCUGUUUGAAUUAGGGAUAGAGUUCUAGUCGGUUAAGAAGUCAUCUGUACGGGGCUAUAAAUAGCUACCUUUGUAAAUCUGUAAUCAUCAACCAAUCAAUACAACAUACUACUUUUUCCUC